UAAUACGAAGGGGGCUAGCGUUGCUCGGAAUCACUGGGCGUAAAGCGCACGUAGGCGGACUCUUAAGUCGGUGGUGAAAUCCUGGAGCUCAACUCCAGAACUGCCUUCGAUACUGAGAGUCUCGAGUCCGGGAGAGGUGAGUGGAACUGCGAGUGUAGAGGUGAAAUUCGUAGAUAUUCGCAAGAACACCAGUGGCGAAGGCGGCUCACUGGCCCGGUACUGACGCUGAGGUGCG
rnacentral:rRNA from 1 species